AGAGUUAUUAUGAGACCGGGCAGUGAGUUCCAUAUUCAAUUGACCGUGCUCUGAAGGAAUGGGCCAAAUUAUAAUCGUUGUAACGUUUUUGGAACAAUUAAGGUCGAAAAUCAUUACAUAAUGAUUAAUAAUCGGUUACAUAUCACUAACGACUACUAAACCCAUUAAAAACACGUCUUUUCAAGAUCCAAAGAGAGGACAAAGUUUGCAUAUAAAUAGGCCUUGAAACCAACAAUAAUAAAAGAAGACAAUUGGGUGAGAGAAAAAUGAGAACAAUAUGCUUAUAAGACUUAAAGAUUUCAAAAAUGGAGUUGAUGACCUCAUCAUCUCCUGUACCAAUCAGAUACACAUUAACCACUUAUUUGUGACCUUCUGGGAAGGUUAAUCUUUUAAUGUUUUUAGCCAAAACAUUUGACGUCCACUAUAGAACUCCGAUAAAAUUAACCCGGACUUCACCUCUUUACCAUCAUUCUUUCCAUUUUCAUACAAGGAUGGCUUUCAUCUUGGUGACCAUACUCCUAUCAGGUUUGAAUUGAUUAUCUUGGGAUCAAACCUUUGAUAAAAAAUUGUAUAUCCCUCACGCCACAUAGCAUCGUACAUUUGAGAAAAGCCGCUCAUGGUGGCGUUGGCAGCAACGCCAAAUCAGGUAAUAUUCUGGCGACAACGUAUCUAAAGCAAGUACAGUAAACAAGCACUCCGUUUCGGUUUCCACAAUAAUUGUUUUCAUCUUAUAAUUGGCUGAAACAAUCCGAUCUAUUCGAACUCGAGGUCCCACCGAUGCCACGAGAUAGUGCCUUCCGAUCUGUUCCUGAUCAUAGUCGGGACCAUCGUACAUGUAACUAAAUGUGCAUAUCAUUUUUACUAAUCAAGGGAGGAUGGCUUCACAAAAAGAAUGAGUCAUCUGUCCGCCACAUAUCGAUUAUGUAUUGUCAUCCUAUGGUUGGUAACCAGAUGAUUUUAUUUUUAUUAUUAAAGCAACUCUUUU
rnacentral:lncRNA from 1 species